rnacentral:lncRNA from 10 species
CAGCAACUGCUAACAGCGAGGAGGGGUUUUGAAAGGUAAAGGCCAUUAGCUUGGAGGCAGAAGACAGACCUCCCUGACUGCUGAAUUCCUGCCGGCCUGAAAUUGGAGCAUUCCAAGCUCCUCAGAUGAGUCAUAAGCCACCAAGAUUGUGAGCCUCUGGGCUUCUCCCAGCUUGUAGGAGAAAUGCCUUGCAGGUGAAGAUGGUGAGGAAGUUGGCCCUGAAAUAGCCCAGCCCCUCGAAGAGACAAACAGGGAGGAGCAUCAUUCAGGUGCUUCACUGGGAAAUGAACCAGGAUAAUGUUCAUCUUAAAAUAACCUACUUCAAUGAACAUUCGGCCAAAAGACAAAAGGAAGGUAUUGCUAGGUAAUGUGCAGCCACUCUGUCACAGUCUUUUUUUUUUAAAUGAACACAAAUUCCUUGACUGUCUUCUUGCUGAGAGGUGAGGUCUCUGUCCCCCUCCUCUCCCUACUUGAAUCUGGAUGAGCUUGUGACUCACUUAUAACCAAGAAUAUGGAAGAAGUGAUGCUGUGUGAUCUCCUCAUGCCUGGAGCCUGUGAGCCUCUCUCUGAGAAGUCCAGUGCCCCUGAGCCCACCAUGCUGAAGAAGCCACCUGGAGAAGCCCCUGUUGACAGAGAGCCAGCAUCACCUGCCAGUCACCAGAAGGGAGCCAUCUCAGACAUCCAGCCCAGCUGAGCCUUCAACUGACUGCUGCCCCAACCAACAUGUGAACUGCAACCGCAUGAGAGACCCUCAAGUGAGAACCGCCCAGCUGAGCCUUUCCCAAGUUCCUGGCCCACAAAACCCAGAACAAAUUAAAAUGAGUGUUUUAAGCCAUUAAGGAGCAGGGUAAUUUGUUACACAGCAACAGUAACCAGGACACAUUCCCAAACCUAACUAGGAGGAAAUUUCCUCUUGAUAAAAAUGCUGAUUUUUUUAUUCAUCCUAGACCUUCAUAAGUCAGAAUCAUCUGUGGAUAAGGUAUAAGAAUCUGCAUUUUUUUUAAGACAAGCUCUCCCACCCCAGGUGAUUCAGAUGCACAGCCAGGUUUGGAAAUUUAAGACCUUGGAAGAGAGUCACAUUGCCUCUCUCUGAGUCUCAGCUUCCUUGUCUGUGAAUUGGGGAGGAGUGAGAGUUGGUGUGAGUAUCAAAGAAGACGCUGCAGGUAAAGUCUUUAGGGCCAGCCAGGCGUAGUGGCUCAUGCCUGUAAUCCCAGCACUUUGGGAGGCCAAGGCGGGUGGAUCAUGAGGUCAGGAGUUCAGCCUGGCCAAUAUGAUGAAACACUGUCUCUAUUAAAAAUACAAAAAAAUUAGCCAGGCAUGGUGCCAGGUGCCUGUAGUCCCAGCUACUCAGGAGGCUGAGACAGGAGAAUCGCUUGAGCCCAGGAAGCGGAGGUUGCAGUGAGCCGAGAUCACACCACUGCACUCCAGCCUGGGCGACAGAGCAAGACUCUGAUACAGAAAAGGAGAAGAAGACCACAUGCAUACCCACAAGAAGAUGGAGGCAGAGACUGGAGUGAAGAAGCCACAAGCCAAGGAAUGGCUGGAGCCACCAGGAGCUGAAAGAGGCAACGAAGGAUCCUCCCCUGGAGACUUCAGAGGGAGCAUGGCCCUGCUGACACCUUGAUUUUGGAUUUCUGGCCCCCAGAACCAUGAGAGAAUAAAUUUCUGUUGUGUUAAGCCACAUAGUUGGUGCUAGCCAGGAUCACUCCCUCCGAAGUCACACCAGAGGGAGGGCUGGAGGGAGAAUCAAAUGAAAGAGAGAGGGAGAGAAAGGAAGGAAGAGAAGGAGGGAGAAUGGAAGGAUGUAUGGAUUUGGAUGUAUGGGUUCCAUUCCUUCUACCCUGGCAAAAGCUUACUCAUCCUUCAGUGUCCAUCCAAAAUGGCAUCUCUUCUUGGGCACCAUCUCCAGAGUCUCCUGCAAGCAGGUAGCUACAUCCCACAAAACAACCACCCAUCUGACCAUGCAAGUGUGUGGGGGAAUGAAGACCAGCCCAGGAAUCUGAGAUGAAUGUUUUGCUUCUUGCUCUGCCACUGACUCACAGGGUACCCCAAGCAAGUCCCUUCACCUCCUCGGUCUCAGUUUCUCCAUUUAUACUACUAAGGCAGUGGACAUGAUGGCCUCAAGUCUCAACAUUUUUAUUCCCUGAAAAGAAACUCUUGGUGCUGAGUGGUCUUCUUCUGCCCUGACAUCUCACCUUUCAAACGCUUGUCUCUUCUCACCCCACCCACCACUUAGCAUGUGCUCUUGGAGAACACCCAGGACUCAGGGUCUCUGCACACAUCAUGAGUCCAGCUCAGCAUUUGAGGUGGAAUCAGAGGAAAGGAAGGAGAGUGGGGAGAAUAGUCAGUAUUUUGGCAAGCUCAUCAUACCUUCCCCCUUUGUAUAGAAACUUCAAACCAUUUCCCUUUGAAGGCACUACCUCCUUCCCCCAGUUAUAAAUGAGUGAAGGUCUCAAGCCUGGACAACCAAAUGCACAGUGAUUGGUUCAACUCUGGACCUGUGACUCAAGCCAGACCAAGGGAGUGACAUGCAGGGCUUUGCCUGGAACUAUUCUGAAAGGGGCACUCUCUUUCUGCUGGGCUACUGAUAAUAUGUGCAUCCGUGAUAGAAGAGCCUGCCUGAUAAUAAAGCCAAUAAGGGAAGAGCAGAGCCAAGAGAUGGUGGGAGAGCAGAUGCCUGAAAAUAUCAUUUGAGCCCCUGGGUCCAGCUGCACCUGAAGCCACCACGAUCUCCUGGACUUUGCAGUUACUUGAGUUCAUAAAUACCCUUUGGCAUUAAGCCAGAUUGAGUCUUAAUGCAUAUAGAAAUAAGAGAAAUGAGAAAAGAAAUUGAAAAGAGAGACAGCAGAGAACUGAUUCUCUACUAGAGCCUCCAGAAGGAAUCAACUCUGCCAACACCUUGAUUUUGGACUUGUGGCCUUCAGAACAGUGAAAUGAUAAACAUCUGUUAUUUUAAGGUACCUAGUGUGUAACAUUCCGUCAUGACAGCCCUAGGAAAUGAAUACAGCGAGGAAAAUCCUACCAGCACAAAGGCAUGGAGGUGCCAGGAUGUCUCCUCUGCGUGAAGAGUAGAUGUAGAUGAGGCUGGAAUUAUCUAUCCUAGCUGCCCAGACCCAUGUGCCUUUGUUUUAUGUAGUUACAGCACCUAUGAUACAUAUUUGUUACCAUGUAUGUCACUAUGAACCUCCUCUGGAGGACGGAGAAGUCAAAUACCUUAAUUAUUCCAACACAAGCUUGCGUGAACAGAUAAUCAUCACUACGAGUAUAUUGUGUGCCUGCUAAGCACCACACCUGAGAUAAGCAUUUGCUGUGGUUUGAAUGUCCCCUCCAAAGCUCAUGCUAAAAUUUAAUUGCCAUUGCAACAGUGUUGCAAGGUGAGAACUUUAAGAGAUGAUCAGGUCAUGAGAACUCUGCCCUCGUGAAUGGAUUAAUACCCUUAUCGCAGUAGUGGACCCCCCUUUUCUCUUGCUGUCUGUCUCUCAUGUUAGCUUGUGCUUCCUCCUUUCACCAUGGGAUAACACAGCAAGAAGCCCCUCACCAGAUGCUGGCACCUUGCUAUUGGACUUCCGGCCUCCAGAACUGAGAAAUACAUGUCUUUUCCUUAUAAAUUACCCAGUCUGUGGUAUUCUGUUAUAGCGGCAGAAAAUGGACUAAGACGGCAUUUUGCAUACAUUAUCUGUCUUAUUAAAAAUAAUGUUUUUGCCCAGGAACAUAGAUUCAAGUUGCCCUGAAUAUACAUUAUCUCCCUACAUUAUCUCUUUUAAUCCUCACCUAUUAGGUAGAUAAACUGCUAUUAUCCCCAUUUUGCAGGUGAAACCUCAAGCUCCCAAAGAACUGCAGCAUCGAGGAAAGUAAAACCAAUAGCUAGCAUGUUCAGUAGUCCCCUUUACCCAUGGUACAAUACAGUACGCUAAGAUAUUCUGAGAAAGUGAGAGGCCGCAUUCACGUAUCUUUUAUCGCAGUAUAUUGUUACAAUUGUUGUAUUUUAUUCGUUAUUGUUGUUAGUCUCUUAUUGUGCCUAAUUUAUAAAUUAAGCUUUACCACAGG